rnacentral:rRNA from 2 species
GCAUAUCAAUAAGCGGAGGAAAAGAAACCAACAGGGAUUGCCCUAGUAACGGCGAGUGAAGCGGCAACAGCUCAAAUUUGAAAUCUGGCCUCGGCCCGAGUUGUAAUUUGCAGAGGAAGCUUUAGGCGCGGCACCAACUGAGUCCCCUGGAACGGGGCGCCAUAGAGGGUGAGAGCCCCGUAUAGUUGGACGCCUAGCCUGUGUAAAGCUCCUUCGACGAGUCGAGUAGUUUGGGAAUGCUGCUCAAAAUGGGAGGUAAAUUUCUUCUAAAGCUAAAUACCGGCCAGAGACCGAUAGCGCACAAGUAGAGUGAUCGAAAGAUGAAAAGCACUUUGAAAAGAGGGUUAAAUAGCACGUGAAAUUGUUGAAAGGGAAGCGCUUGUGACCAGACUUGCGCCGGGCGGAUCAUCCGGUGUUCUCACCGGUGCACUCCGCCCGGCUCAGGCCAGCAUCGGUUCUCGCGGGGGGAUAAAGGCCCUGGGAACGUAGCUCCUCCGGGAGUGUUAUAGCCCAGGGCGCAAUGCCCUCGCGGGGACCGAGGUUCGCGCAUCUGCAAGGAUG